AAGACUUAUGACUAUAACAAUAAAACAGUUAGAACAUGAGAAACAUCAUUAGCUAUUCAAAUAUCAAAGCAAAGUUUAAACAAAGCCAAGAACACGUAAAUAGAAAACAAGCUGGGAAUUGAACACAAGCAAAGCUAAGAAAAAAUUUAGCUAGUUCUGGGCAGCGAACCAAACAACAAAUUUGACGGAGACGAUUUCACCUCUUCAACUCGAAGAGACAGUAAAACGUUUUGACAACUUUAAACUAUGGAACCAAGAAUUCCCAGAAAACUUUAUGCGUACUCUUUGCUCUCCGAGAAUCCUCCUUAUGAACAGUGAAUGGGAAGGGUAUUUAUAGGGGUUGAGAAAAUUUGAAAAUCACAUAUUAGGGUCGAUGUGGGACUGUGAGUAAUUUGAAA
rnacentral:misc_RNA from 1 species